rnacentral:rRNA from 1 species
AUUGAACGCUGGCGGCAGGCCUAACACAUGCAAGUCGAGCGGAUGAAGGGAGCUUGCUCCUGGAUUCAGCGGCGGACGGGUGAGUAAUGCCUAGGAAUCUGCCUGGUAGUGGGGGAUAACGUCCGGAAACGGGCGCUAAUACCGCAUACGUCCUGAGGGAGAAAGUGGGGGAUCUUCGGACCUCACGCUAUCAGAUGAGCCUAGGUCGGAUUAGCUAGUUGGUGGGGUAAAGGCCUACCAAGGCGACGAUCCGUAACUGGUCUGAGAGGAUGAUCAGUCACACUGGAACUGAGACACGGUCCCGACUCCUACGGGAGGCAGCAGUGGGGAAUAUUGGACACUGGGCGAAAGCCUGAUCCAGCCAUGCCGCGUGUGUGAAGAAGGUCUUCGGAUUGUAAAGCACUUUAAGUUGGGAGGAAGGGCAGUAAGUUAAUACCUUGCUGUUUUGACGUUACCAACAGAAUAAGCACCGGCUAACUUCGU